UCAUCGGUGGUCAGUGGUAGAAUGCUCGCCUGCCACGCGGGCGGUCCGGGUCGAUUCCCGGCCAAUGCA
rnacentral:tRNA from 1 species